GUAACCGGUGUUCUGGUAGGUACGGGGAUUCAUAAACUGCGAUAACCAUCGCUAAUGAAGUGAAUUGUCGCAUGCCUUUUUUACCAACCAAUCAGAGGACACUUGGCAGUCCAGCGGGUCACAUUUUGAACGAGACAAUCUGUUGGUGGAAAACAGAAGAAAGACUUGCAAAAUGCGACCCGCUGUAAAACGCGACCAGAGAUGCAAAAUGCUGAACAUCUGUCAGGCGCUUUUUCCAAAAAGUCAAGAUUGAAAGCAAAAGAAUCGAGAAGAAUGGAUCCAGCCCAGCAGGUUACAAAAGAAAACAAACAAGUAAUGUUCUGUGGAGAUUUCAACCUAGGAUUGUCAAGGUGCUUUCAAUGCAGUUUAAAGAGAGUAAAAUACAGCAAAGCAGAGUGAGGUUAUAAACAGAACAAUUAAACAGAAAUGUCUUGACAAACUAGUAAAUUAAGCAUAGUUGAUGAAGAUGUAGUAUACAAAGAUUGUGACUUUAUCAAAUGUGAAUCACAUGAAACUUGAUUUGCUCUCUACAGAUCUACUUCUUGAACUCUUAUUUGGUAGAAGGUCCUACAAUAUCCUUUAUUAGGAUCCUGAACAGAUCAUAUACAGGAUCCUGAUUAGAUCAUAUACAGGAUCCUGAUUAGAUCCUAUACAGGAUCCUGAUAAGAUCAUAUAUAGGAUCCUGAACAGAUCAUAUGCAGGAUCCUGACAAGAUCAUAUAUAGGAUCCUGAACAGAUCAUAUACAGGAUCCUGAUUAGAUCAUAUACAGGAUCCUGAUUAGAUCCUAUACAGGAUCUUAAAAAUAUCCUGUCCAAGACCCGAAUCAUUUCCUACAGGAUCUUGAUGAGAUCCUAUUCAGGACC